rnacentral:rRNA from 1 species
AAAUUGAAGAGUUUGAUCAUGGCUCAGAUUGAACGCUGGCGGCAGGCCUAACACAUGCAAGUCGAGCGGUAGCACAGAGAGCUUGCUCUCGGGUGACGAGCGGCGGACGGGUGAGUAAUGUCUGGGAAACUGCCUGAUGGAGGGGGAUAACUACUGGAAACGGUAGCUAAUACCGCAUAACGUCGCAAGACCAAAGUGGGGGACCUUCGGGCCUCAUGCCAUCAGAUGUGCCCAGAUGGGAUUAGCUAGUAGGUGGGGUAAUGGCUCACCUAGGCGACGAUCCCUAGCUGGUCUGAGAGGAUGACCAGCCACACUGGAACUGAGACACGGUCCAGACUCCUACGGGAGGCAGCAGUGGGGAAUAUUGCACAAUGGGCGCAAGCCUGAUGCAGCCAUGCCGCGUGUAUGAAGAAGGCCUUCGGGUUGUAAAGUACUUUCAGCGAGGAGGAAGGCGUUAAGGUUAAUAACCUUAGCGAUUGACGUUACUCGCAGAAGAAGCACCGGCUAACUCCGUGCCAGCAGCCGCGGUAAUACGGAGGGUGCAAGCGUUAAUCGGAAUUACUGGGCGUAAAGCGCACGCAGGCGGUCUGUCAAGUCGGAUGUGAAAUCCCCGGGCUCAACCUGGGAACUGCAUUCGAAACUGGCAGGCUAGAGUCUUGUAGAGGGGGGUAGAAUUCCAGGUGUAGCGGUGAAAUGCGUAGAGAUCUGGAGGAAUACCGGUGGCGAAGGCGGCCCCCUGGACAAAGACUGACGCUCAGGUGCGAAAGCGUGGGGAGCAAACAGGAUUAGAUACCCUGGUAGUCCACGCCGUAAACGAUGUCGACUUGGAGGUUGUGCCCUUGAGGCGUGGCUUCCGGAGCUAACGCGUUAAGUCGACCGCCUGGGGAGUACGGCCGCAAGGUUAAAACUCAAAUGAAUUGACGGGGGCCCGCACAAGCGGUGGAGCAUGUGGUUUAAUUCGAUGCAACGCGAAGAACCUUACCUACUCUUGACAUCCAGAGAACUUAGCAGAGAUGCUUUGGUGCCUUCGGGAACUCUGAGACAGGUGCUGCAUGGCUGUCGUCAGCUCGUGUUGUGAAAUGUUGGGUUAAGUCCCGCAACGAGCGCAACCCUUAUCCUUUGUUGCCAGCGGU